rnacentral:tRNA from 1 species
AACGGGGUGGUAUAGUCUGGAAAGUAUGCAAGGCUCAUGACCUUGAGGUCGUUGGUUCAAAUCCAACCCCCGUUA